rnacentral:rRNA from 1 species
UGGCGGACGGGUGAGUAACGCGUGGGUAACCUGCCUCAUACAGGGGGAUAACAGUUAGAAAUGACUGCUAAUACCGCAUAAGACCACAGCAUCGCAUGGUGCAGGGGUAAAAACUCCGGUGGUAUGAGAUGGACCCGCGUCUGAUUAGGUAGUUGGUGGGGUAACGGCCUACCAAGCCGACGAUCAGUAGCCGACCUGAGAGGGUGACCGGCCACAUUGGGACUGAGACACGGCCCAA